AACAUUCUAAUAGCACCACACCUAGCGACCAAACAUCACCGGAGAAACCAUUGGCGUUGCCCCCAUCCCACCUCUCUGGAUCAACCCUUUCAGGACUCAUGUAAGCACACGUACCCAUGCACGCCUCACACGCGUUCCGCGUCCCAACAACAAUCUUACUCACUCCAAAAUCUGCAAUCUUCACCUCUCCUUUCCCGUUUAUCAACAGAUUUGAUGGUUUUAUAUCGCCAUGAACGAUUUGCAUUCCAUGCAAAUACUGCAACCCUCGUACAACUCUUUGGGUAAUCACCGAAACAACAUCCUCAGGCAACUUCAC
rnacentral:lncRNA from 1 species